UACGGGGGGGGCAAGCGUUGUUCGGAAUUACUGGGCGUAAAGGGCCAGUAGGCGGCCAACUAAGUCGGAUGUGAAAUCCCCAGGCUUAACCUGGGAACUGCAUCCGAUACUGGAUGGCUUGAAUUCGGGAGAGGGAUGCAGAAUUCCAGGUGUAGCGGUGAAAUGCGUAGAUAUCUGGAGGAAUACCGGUGGCGAAGGCGGCAUCCUGGACCGGCAUUGACGCUGAGGAGCGAAAGCUAGGGGAGCAAACGGG
rnacentral:rRNA from 1 species